rnacentral:lncRNA from 1 species
GUAGGUGUGCUCCUUAGCUGAUGCCAUUGUGCUGUGAGGGCUAAAAACCAUGCAAGUGAUUACUUUCAGAGUAACCAGCACUGAAGGAGGCAUUAACUCUGGAUUUCAUUUUUACCUUCAUCCUUAAUAACUCUUAAAAUGAAUCAUGUUUUUUCCCUACAAAGGCUUUUUGCAAUCAUUUGCACUUGAGAUUUUCAUGUAGAGUGUAGGCAGUUU